rnacentral:rRNA from 1 species
UGUGUAGGUGGCUGAUUAAGUCAAAGAUGAAAUCCCGAGGCUCAACUUCGGAAUGGUUAUUGAUACUGAUCAGCUUGAGGCUAGAUGAGGAGAGCGGAAUUCCCGGUGGAGCGGUGAAAUGCGUAGAUAUCGGGAGGAACACCAGAGGCGUAGGCGGUUCUCUAACCUAGUCCUGACACUGAGACACGAAAGCUAGGGGAGCAAACGGGAUUAGAUACCCCGGUAGUCCUAGCUGUAAACGAUGGACACUAGAUGUUCUCACGUUUAUGUGGGAGUGUCGUAGCUAACGCGUUAAGUGUCCCGCCUGGGGAGUACGGUCGCAAGGCUGAA